CCGGACGCUGAAAACCGGGUCUGGUGGACAUUGAGAGUGCCGGCUCUCUCCGGCACGUCUCAUGCCCGAAUUGCUCAAUAGGAGGAUUUGGAAAUGAGAA
rfam:Sphingomonas sp. LH128 Contig327, whole genome shotgun sequence.